rnacentral:rRNA from 1 species
CCUACGGGGGGCAGCAGUGGGGAAUAUUGCACAAUGGGCGCAAGCCUGAUGCAGCCAUGCCGCGUGUGUGAAGAAGGCCUUCGGGUUGUAAAGCACUUUCAGCGGGGAGGAAGGCGUUAAGGUUAAUAACCUUGUCGAUUGACGUUACCCGCAGAAGAAGCGCCGGCUAACUCCGUGCCAGCAGCCGCGGUAAUACGGAGGGUGCAAGCGUUAAUCGGAAUUACUGGGCGUAAAGCGCACGCAGGCGGUCUGUCAAGUCGGAUGUGAAAUCCCCGGGCUCAACCUGGGAACUGCAUUCGAAACUGGCAGGCUAGAGUCUUGUAGAGGGGGGUAGAAUUCCAGGUGUAGCGGUGAAAUGCGUAGAGAUCUGGAGGAAUACCGGUGGCGAAGGCGGCCCCCUGGACAAAGACUGACGCUCAGGUGCGAAAGCGUGGGGAGCAAACAGGAUUAGAUACCCGUGUAGUC